rnacentral:rRNA from 1 species
GACGAACGGUACGAACGUUGUUCGGAAUCAUUGGGCGUAAAGGGUGCGUAGGCGGCUAUGUAAGUCGGGUGUGAAAUCCCGGGGCUCAACCGCGGAACUGCAUUCGAUACUGCGGAGCUGGAGGGAGGUAGGGGAGAGUGGAAUUCAUGGUGUAGCGGUGAAAUGCGUUGAUAUCAUGAGGAACACCGGUGGCGAAGGCGGCUCUCUGGGUCACUUCUGACGCUGAGGCACGAAAGCUAGGGGAGCGAACGGG